rnacentral:rRNA from 1 species
GAUGAACGCUGGCGGCGUGCUUAACACAUGCAAGUCGAACGGGAUCCAUCAGGCUUUGCUUGGUGGUGAGAGUGGCGAACGGGUGAGUAAUGCGUGACCGACCUGCCCCAUACACCGGAAUAGCUCCUGGAAACGGGUGGUAGUGCCGGAUGUUCCAGUUGAUCGCAUGGUCUUCUGGGAAAGCUUUCGCGGUAUGGGAUGGGGUCGCGUCCUAUCAGCUUGACGGCGGGGUAACGGCCCACCGUGGCUUCGACGGGUAGCCGGCCUGAGAGGGCGACCGGCCACAUUGGGACUGAGAUACGGCCCAGACUCCUACGGGAGGCAGCAGUGGGGAAUAUUGCACAAUGGGCGCAAGCCUGAUGCAGCGACGCCGCGUGAGGGAUGGAGGCCUUCGGGUUGUAAACCUCUUUUAUCGGGGAGCAAGCGAGAGUGAGUUUACCCGUUGAAUAAGCACCGGCUA